GACAGAGCCCCGACUGGGGACAGGCCACCUCGGGUGGGAGCAUGUGGGCGGCCGAUGGGCCCCUUCCCACGGACGUGGAGCCGUGGGGACAAGGACGUCCUUGUCCCAGCUGUGCCAAACCCCUUGGGAAUGGUUGGGGCAGGUGCUGCAGGGUCUAUUCCUUCUCGGUGUUGGCUCUAGGCUCCUUAGGGACUGAUUGCUGUCCCUGUGCCUUCCUCAUUUUAGGGUGGUCUGUAAACUUCUGCUGUGUCAGGCGGGUUUGUGGCUGGAGUAGCUCUUCCCUCUGCACAUGUGGCUCUGUUAUAAGUAGGGUCUCCUGGGGACUGGGGGAAUGGGGUUAGUCGUCUGGCGCUGUGGACUCUCUUCUUCCUCGGGCUGCUGCUUUGCUAAUGUAAGUUUCCUGUGAUGGACCUGGUCCCUGGUAGGCAGUGGGGUAGUGGGGUAGGCAAGGCUCUCGGCACGGGAAGAAGCAAGAAUGGAAUUUACACCUUGGGACUGGGAGAGGAUGGGCGCAGAGCCACUGUGGGACACGCUGGAGUCCAACAGCAGAGAGAGAAGGCAGGAGGUCCUGCCAUCCAUCCUUGUCCUGCUCUGGAGACCCCUGCUGUCUCCCCAGAGCAGGAGGACGAGCUGGUUGUCCUGGACUGGAGCCACCAUGGAGACCACAGGCUCUGGAGAUCCUUGGCUGGUGGGGGGUGCCCACAUCCCCACCCUGACAGGACAGUUCUCUGCCUGGCUUGGCUGGGCCAGAGCAGCUGGGUGGCGCUGCUGGAUGCUGUUACGUGCCCUGAGGAGGAAGGGUUUUCGAAGGCUGUAUGCCCCAGGGAGGAGGAAGAAGAGGAGGACAAAUACAGGAGACCUGUCACCUUCACACUGGGAAAUGAGAUACUGGGGCUGGGCCCAGAGAGAGAGUUUCAGAACCCUGAUGCUGAGGUUUAUAUGCACUUCUUGAGGAGCCACUGCUGUUACGAUGCCAUCCCCACCAGCUGCAAACUCGUUGUCUUUGACAUCUCCCUAGAGCAGAUCAAGAAAGCCUUUUUGGCACUGGUGGCCAACGGGGUGCGUGCUGCCCCUCUCUGGGACAGCAAGACGCAGAGCUUUGUGGGGAUGCUCACUAUCACUGACUUCAUCAACAUCCUCCACCGCUACUACCGCUCACCUUUGGUUCAGAUCUACGAGGUGGAGGAGCAUAAGAUUGAGACCUGGAGAGAGGUGUACCUGCAGGGCUCCCUCAAGCCACUGGUCUACAUCUCUCCAAGCAAUAGCCUCUUCAAUGCUGUCUACUCCCUGAUCAAGCACAAAAUCCACCGCCUGCCUGUCAUUGAGCCUGUCUCGGGCAAUGUCCUGCACAUCCUGACGCACAAGCGCAUCCUCAAGUUUCUCCACAUCUUUGAUUCUACCAUUCCCAAACCACGCUUCCUGAAGAAAACAGUGCAGGAACUGUGUAUUGGCACCUUCCAUGAUCUGGCUGUCGUGCCUGAGACUGCCCCAGUGUACACCGCCUUGGAGAUUUUUGUGGAUCGUCGUGUCUCUGCCUUGCCUGUCAUCAAUGAUGCUGGGCAAGUAGUUGGCCUGUACUCGCGGUUUGAUGUCAUUCACCUGGCAGCCCAAAAGAGCUACAACAACCUGGACAUCAGUGUGAGGGAGGCACUGCAGCAGCGCAGCGUUGCCCUGGAGGGGGUCCUCACCUGCUACCCCCACGAACCUAUGGAGGACAUAAUUGACCGCAUUGCCAAGGAGCAGGUCCAUCGCCUGGUUCUGGUGGAUGAGAACCGGCACCCACGGGGAAUCAUCUCCCUCUCUGACAUCCUGCAGGCCCUUGUGCUCACUCCUGCAGGUAUUGAUGCUCUUAACUCUUAGCCCACGGUGCUCCAUCUUUCUCCACUUGCACCCUCAAUUUUUCUCCACUUCAGGCAUUGAUCGAUCCUCACUCUGAAGACACCAGGGAAAUGCCACUGUCUUGUCUGACUCAGGGAUCUCUGCGUGAUCUGUGAGAAGGAGGCUUGGGCCUGAAGGCUCUCUGUGGGAGGACAUGCCUGUUCACUACAGUCCUUGGGCUCGUCUUGAGUCCAGGGCUAGAUCCUGCCAGUCUUGGAGAGGCAGAAACACUGAAAAUGGGACCCAGGGGUUGCCUCCUGCCAGUGAGCACACAGUGAUGCUCAGUGGGCACUGUGCUGGAGGGGCUGCAACAUGCCUGCAGCAGGGCAGAGACCCAUAUAGGCCCAGUGGACCUGACCACCCCUCUGCCAUCCUGCUGAUGGAUUUGAGCGUUUCUGUUGUGGCUCUUUCCUAGUGAACACAGUCCCGCUGUCUGUGCCUGGUGCCUGGUAGUGUAGGCUCAGCUGCACACACAGGCUUUUUUAUUUUGGGGUCACAUGGGGCUGGAGCUCUCUGGCAGAGGCACAGUCUGUGCCAGAGCUAGCAGCAGAACGGGCACUUGCAUGGAGACCCUGUGCACAUUUUGGGGUGGGCAGGGGUUAUUUAUUUAUUUGUUAGUCUGUUCAACCUUGCUGUAAAAAAGCAGCCUGAUCAAAGAACUGCCUCUUGCCUUUCUGGGGUAAAGCUGGGCAUGACUCCUCUGGAGGGAACCAGGCUGGGGAAGGGGCACUGGCAGAGUAGCACCUCCGCCCAUGUGGGUAGAACCAAGAGGAUGGGGACACAGGGCAUGCAGUCUUCAUCAUCUUGAUGGUGUGCAGCUGCCUUCAGGGACACACUGAGUGACAAAAGCUUUGGUACCAGCAAGAUUUCCACCUGCUGCUUCCCUCAGUCCAAGAAGAAGGAAAGUAUGAAGGGGUGACUGUUUAAAAUGUCCCAUGCCCCAUCCCUUAAGGACCCUGGGCAAAUAGCAGUGCAUCCCCUGCCUGUGGCUGCUACCAGCUGUGAGCCUUGCAAUGGUCCUGGCUUGGAGGUAGGGGAUGCUGAGCUCAUCUUUCUCCUGCUGCUUUGCUUGCAGCAAGCCCAGCCAUUCCCCUGAUCCCCUAUCAGCAUUUCAGUGCAAUUAAUGGCUGACAGUGGAAAGUGCCAGGAACUCAACACCCCUCCUGUGCUGGCUGGUUCUGCCAGGGGAUGCAAUACCAGUGCUGGGUGGUGACAGGCCUACUCCCAUCAUUGGGAAUGUGCUGUGUUAUUGCUGUGCUUUCCCAGGACCAGGGCUGGCUCAGUCCCUUGGGAAAGGCGCAAAUCCCAAACGCCCCAGCACUCAACCCUCCCCUGGGGGCAAGGGGAAAAGUGAGGCACAGAGAAGUUUCUGAGGCCAAGGUCAGCUGUUCAGAGAGGACCCAGAUGUCCUGGCUCCAGGCACAGAUCCACGCACAGCUACACAAGGACUGGACGACGGAAAUACCGAAUGGCUGCAAGCCCCCUCCCUGCUUUCCCCCAGCCCCAAAAGAGCUCCCAGG